GCUGUAUCCAUAACCGGUACUGCUGCCAGUGAUGUCCAUGUUGUGUCUGUGCAUCGUACAGAGCUUUGGUUUUCUCGAAAUACUCUCAUGUUUGAUAUGCGUGGUUAUUGUUUAGAACACUAAGAACGCACGUAAGAUUUCAUGGCUUCUGUACCUCAUAGUUAAAUCUUGCCCAUUAACCAGACACACGCUUUCCCUCUCGACGAGUGAAUAGGUCUCACCCUCCAGCAGCUGCUUAAAC